rnacentral:misc_RNA from 1 species
GUAGCUCAAGUACAGAACACCCUGACCGCAAGGUUGGGAUGAUCCUUCCGCGUAACACUUGCCGAAGCCUUAGCAGCCCGAAAGGGUGCAGCCCCAACGACUAUAAACAGAAGAGGACUGCUGAAAUGCUAGUCUGCGCACUGCAGGCGACACUAUCAAAUUGCGGGAACACCCUAAAGACCUCAACACCAAGCGUCCGUGGGAAACCAUGGCGUGGCCGAGCUAACAGCCCUGGGUAUGGUAACAGCUU